CAGCCGUAAACAAUGUGCGUUAGGUGUGUCGGUAACCACGCGUUACUGAUGCGCCGAAGAGAAAUCGUGAAACGCACCACCUGGGAAGUACGGUCGCAAGGCUGAAACUUAAAGGAAUUGGCGGGGGAGCACCACAACAGGUGGAGCCUGCGGUUUAAUUGGAUUCAACGCCGGACAUCUCACCGGAUAAGGCAGCUGAAUGAUUGUCAAUCUGAAGGUUUUACAUGACUAGCUGAGAGGAGGUGCAUGGCGUCAGUGACU
rnacentral:rRNA from 1 species